AACUGUUAAAUGCAAUCGUGAGUGUUUUUUACCAAUUAUAUUUGCUUAAAAUGACAUCGACAGCUCAUAAGAGAAGCUGACCCAAUGGUACCUCCCACGGUGAGGUUGCUGAAGCAAAAAUUUCUUUUGCCGCUUGCCGCUCCACUGAGGUCAAAAGAAACAUCAGCUUUACACAAAACAUGGAGCGGUUGAUUGCAUUUGUUACAUGAUGUAUGCUACAGCUAACGGACGACUGGCUCAUGGAUAUUCCCCAUUGCUCACGUACGGAUAGUUGAUAACAUCCAGGUGCAAAAAAUCGCAGUGCAGCUAGAAUUUAUCGAAAUCGCUGUUAUUCUGGGACUCCUAAGAUGACUGUCAAGCUGAGAAAUUAGGUCCUCAUCAAGUCAGAAGUUAAC